rnacentral:lncRNA from 1 species
AAUUGAUGUUGUGAGAUUUCUGUCCAACACCACGAGCAGAGAAGGCUGUGAUCAGCCCCAGUCUACAGGGAGGAGACCAGGAGCCCGUCAGAGGCCCAGGGUAUACACCUCACUGCUUUGGGGCACUCCUCCAUUGGAUUUACUGUACAGUCCUCGUCAACAUCGACUUCUAGCAAUGGAAUCGGUACUGAAUAUGGAUCACGAACUGCUUCUCACCAGGUAGCGGCUCAGACUCAUUGCUGCUUGUGCUUUCUGAUUGGAGUGGACCCUGAGACCCUUCUGUUCUCCAGCAGACGAUCCGUCCGAGAUAUGAGACACACGGGCUUUGCGUGUGUCUCUCCUCCAGUACCAUACACAUACGUGUUCUGUUUCACCAAUCCCUGCGGAUCCUGACUUUUAAGAAAUAACACGUGCAGAGAUAAAUCUCAGUUGGUUUUUACUUUGAAAAAAUUUGCCAUGGAUGCAGUUGAAAUAGCCAGAUCUUUAAAACAAUUAAAAUGGCUGAGUUUGUAAAUGUCAAUGUGUGUCUUUUUAGGAACAUAGGUAUUGCAUAAAUAAAAUGCAUUUAGAUUUGCUAACAGACAUGAGUGCGUGAUCUCUAUUAGUUUUGUAUUGUAUUGUGAAUUCAGAAUUAUAAAACCUCUUGAAGAUACCUUUUCUGGCAUGUGUGAUAUAAGCUUUCUCUUCCUUUACCUGGUUCUCUUCUCCCAGCCCCUUGACAGUCACGGAAGAUAAAUACACAAAGGUACUCUGAGGAAACAAAUGCUUGGUUAUAAUAUGGAGUAAAAACAGCCUCUCAUGUUAAAACAUGCAAUUACCUUGUUUCCUUGCAAUAUUUGGUGUUUAAUUUUAAUGAUGGUUAUAUUGCAAACUGUUAUCUUUAGGACCG